UACAGAGGUCCCAAGCGUUGUUCGGAUUCACUGGGCGUAAAGGGUGCGUAGGUGGUGAGGUAAGUCGGAUGUGAAAGCUCCGAGCUCAACUCGGAAAUGGCAUUGGAAACUACCUUGCUCGAGGGUUUGAGGGGGGACUGGAAUACUUGGUGUAGCAGUGAAAUGCGUAGAUAUCAAGUAGAACACCAGUGGCGAAGGCGAGUCCCUGGAAAACUCCUGACACUGAGGCACGAAAGCGUGGGGAGCGAACAGG
rnacentral:rRNA from 1 species